UUCGAGUGGGAAGGUUUACUAAGAUUGGUUUUCUAAUCUCAAGGGAAAGAGCAAAGAACAGAAUGCCACCUCCAUGUCCCCCACGGUGAUCUUCAGGAGGUGAUGAGACAAGAGCAAGCCAGGUACAGGAAGACAAAUGAUGCCUUGGGAUCUCAUUCAUGUGUGCAAUCUAAAGACCCUGAGGUCACAGAAGAUGAUUCUAGAAUGGUGGACAGCAGAGGCUGAGGAGGGUGGAGGGAGAGGAUGGUAACCAGCCAGUUGCAUGAAGUUAGAAAUGGGAAGGGAGAAUACGCUCUGGCCUUUGGUGCACAGCAAGGGUGAUUGACUAAAACUUCCACAUCAAACACAGCCAACACCUGGAAGAAACGAUUCUGAACGUUCUCAUCAGAAAGAAAUAACAACUGUAUGAUCAGUCUUUUAAAAGUUUCUCAAUUGAAGUAAUUUAGAAGAUCAGUGGUUAAGGAGACAACCAUCAACAUAAUGGACGUUUUCUCUGUCCUUCCUCUUCAGAGUCUCCCAGAAUUCUGGCUGCUUUCAAGAGAUGGAUUUCUCUUCAGAUUUGUGGUCACCUUUAAUGGUGGCUCACUAUCUAGAAGAUAAGACAGAAACCAGCUGAAGCAGGGACAGCAGAACUAUGGCUUGUGCCUUGCUCGGCUCAUCACGUGUUUUCUCGGCUGGAGGAAGUGACUCAGGCUGGAUGUGAGAGCCCUGCACUUACUUACAACUUCUGAGGUGAUCUGGACUCAGAUGGGACCUCUUCUCAAGCUGCAGGUCAAAGGGGCUUCUUUAGGGGAGGGACUGAGAGCGUCUGGGACAGAGCGAGGCAGUUAAUGCCAGAAUUAUUUUGGAGUUGUGUAGCUAUCCACAAUACUGCUUUGUUGACAGUCAAAAUGAUUUCACACCCAUUUCUUCUUGCAAAGCCAAAAUGACAGGUGUAUGACUUGGAGGGGAGAGGUGGCUUGUUUCACAUUCAACCAGCAGCGACCUAACUUCCCACCACGCUCUGGUCAGCCUCUUGUGGCCUAGUUCUUCACAUCUGAAGGGUUGUCCAAAUCCAUACCCCCCUCUGCAUUUGGUGUCUAUCCAUUGUGUCUGACAAAAAUAAAUGCUAUUUACAAAAACCUACCCCAGCACCCAGGGAGAAAGCUGA